rnacentral:misc_RNA from 1 species
GAUGAAGAACGUAGCGAAACGCGAUAUGUAAUGUGAAUUGCAGAAUUCAGUGAAUCAUCGAAUCUUUGAACGCACAUGGCGCCUUCCAGUAUCCUGGGAGGCAUGCCUGUCCGAGCGUCGUUUCAACCCUCGAGCCCCCGUGGCCCGGCGUUGGGGAUCUGCCCAGGCAGUCCCCGAAAACCAGUGGCGGACCCGUUACAGGCCCUUCCCUUGCGUAGUAGCAUUCGCCUCGCAUCGGGAGCCGGCGGGCUUCCAGCCUCUAAACCCCCAUCAAGUCCGCCCCGGCGGCACCAAGGUUGACCUCGGAUCAGGUAGGAAUACCCGCUGAACUUAAGCACAUCAAUAAGCGGAGGA